UUUUGAUUAGGUCCUUUCACUCUCGGUAUGCCGAUAUGCGAAGCGUUUGCUCGAAUAGAGCAGCUGCCGAACAUCUACGAUGUCGUUCAUGUCAAGUACUAUGAUGAGUAACUUGCCUGGUCGACCCGCAAAUAUUAUGUUAUCAUGGCUUAUAUUGCCUUCUAGGCAUGUUCUUUAUUGGUUCAUCGAAGGUCCAAUUAUAUAGAUUAUUUAAUCUUAUCUUGCCAACCAAACGAGGCCUAAGCCUA